GACAGAGGGUGCAAACGUUGUUCGGAAUUACUGGGCGUAAAGCGCGUGUAGGCGGCUCUGCAAGUCGGAUGUGAAAUCCCACGGCUCAACCAUGGAAGUGCAUUCGAAACUGCAGGGCUAGAGUCCUGGAGAGGAAGGUGGAAUGCUUGGUGUAGAGGUGAAAUUCGUAGAUAUCAAGCGGAACACCGGUGGCGAAGGCGGCCUUCUGGACAGUGACUGACGCUGAGACGCGAAAGCGUGGGGAGCAAACGGG
rnacentral:rRNA from 1 species